AGAGUUUGAUCAUGGCUCAGAUUGAACGCUGGCGGCAGGCUUAACACAUGCAAGUCGAGCGGGGGAAGGUAGCUUGCUACCGGACCUAGCGGCGGACGGGUGAGUAAUGCUUAGGAAUCUGCCUAUUAGUGGGGGACAACAUCUCGAAAGGGAUGCUAAUACCGCAUACGUCCUACGGGAGAAAGCAGGGGAUCUUCGGACCUUGCGCUAAUAGAUGAGCCUAAGUCGGAUUAGCUAGUUGGUGGGGUAAAGGCCUACCAAGGCGACGAUCUGUAGCGGGUCUGAGAGGAUGAUCCGCCACACUGGGACUGAGACACGGCCCAGACUCCUACGGGAGGCAGCAGUGGGGAAUAUUGGACAAUGGGGGGAACCCUGAUCCAGCCAUGCCGCGUGUGUGAAGAAGGCCUUAUGGUUGUAAAGCACUUUAAGCGAGGAGGAGGCUACUUUAGUUAAUACCUAGAGAUAGUGGACGUUACUCGCAGAAUAAGCACCGGCUAACUCUGUGCCAGCAGCCGCGGUAAUACAGAGGGUGCGAGCGUUAAUCGGAUUUACUGGGCGUAAAGCGUGCGUAGGCGGCUUAUUAAGUCGGAUGUGAAAUCCCCGAGCUUAACUUGGGAAUUGCAUUCGAUACUGGUGGCUAGAGUAUGGGAGAGGAUGGUAGAAUUCCAGGUGUAGCGGUGAAAUGCGUAGAGAUCUGGAGGAAUACCGAUGGCGAAGGCAGCCAUCUGGCCUAAUACUGACGCUGAGGUACGAAAGCAUGGGGAGCAAACAGGAUUAGAUACCCUGGUAGUCCAUGCCGUAAACGAUGUCUACUAGCCGUUGGGGCCUUUGAGGCUUUAGUGGCGCAGCUAACGCGAUAAGUAGACCGCCUGGGGAGUACGGUCGCAAGACUAAAACUCAAAUGAAUUGACGGGGGCCCGCACAAGCGGUGGAGCAUGUGGUUUAAUUCGAUGCAACGCGAAGAACCUUACCUGGCCUUGACAUACUAGAAACUUUCCAGAGAUGGAUUGGUGCCUUCGGGAAUCUAGAUACAGGUGCUGCAUGGCUGUCGUCAGCUCGUGUCGUGAGAUGUUGG
rnacentral:rRNA from 1 species